rnacentral:tRNA from 1 species
GGAGAGGUGGCUGAGUGGCUGAAAGCAGCCGCCUGCUAAGCGGUUGAUCGGGUUAAACUGAUCCCCGGGUUCGAAUCCCGGCCUCUCCG